rnacentral:rRNA from 1 species
UGCAGUCGAGCGGUAGCACAGAGAGCUUGCUCUCGGGUGACGAGCGGCGGACGGGUGAGUAAUGUCUGGGAAACUGCCUGAUGGAGGGGGAUAACUACUGGAAACGGUAGCUAAUACCGCAUAACGUCGCAAGACCAAAGUGGGGGACCUUCGGGCCUCAUGCCAUCAGAUGUGCCCAGAUGGGAUUAGCUAGUAGGUGGGGUAACGGCUCACCUAGGCGACGAUCCCUAGCUGGUCUGAGAGGAUGACCAGCCACACUGGAACUGAGACACGGUCCAGACUCCUACGGGAGGCAGCAGUGGGGAAUAUUGCACAAUGGGCGCAAGCCUGAUGCAGCCAUGCCGCGUGUAUGAAGAAGGCCUUCGGGUUGUAAAGUACUUUCAGCGGGGAGGAAGGCGAUAAGGUUAAUAACCUUGUCGAUUGACGUUACCCGCAGAAGAAGCACCGGCUAACUCCGUGCCAGCAGCCGCGGUAAUACGGAGGGUGCAAGCGUUAAUCGGAAUUACUGGGCGUAAAGCGCACGCAGGCGGUCUGUCAAGUCGGAUGUGAAAUCCCCGGGCUCAACCUGGGAACUGCAUUCGAAACUGGCAGGCUAGAGUCUUGUAGAGGGGGGUAGAAUUCCAGGUGUAGCGGUGAAAUGCGUAGAGAUCUGGAGGAAUACCGGUGGCGAAGGCGGCCCCCUGGACAAAGACUGACGCUCAGGUGCGAAAGCGUGGGGAGCAAACAGGAUUAGAUACCCUGGUAGUCCACGCCGUAAACGGUGUCGAUUUGGAGGUUGUGCCCUUGAGGCGUGGCUUCCGGAGCUAACGCGUUAAAUCGACCGCCUGGGGAGUACGGCCGCAAGGUUAAAACUCAAAUGAUUUGACGGGGGCCCGCACAAGCGGUGGAGCAUGUGGUUUAAUUCGAUGCAACGCGAAGAACCUUACCUGGUCUUGACAUCCACAGAACUUAGCAGAGAUGCUUUGGUGCCUUCGGGAACUGUGAGACAGGUGCUGCAUGGCUGUCGUCAGCUCGUGUUGUGAAAUGUUGGGUUAAGUCCCGCAACGAGCGCAACCCUUAUCCUUUGUUGCCAGC